AUUGAACGCUGGCGGCAGGCUUAACACAUGCAAGUCGAGCGAGCGGCGGACGGGUGAGUAAUGUCUGGGAAACUGCCUGAUGGAGGGGGAUAACUACUGGAAACGGUAGCUAAUACCGCAUACCAUCAGAUGUGCCCAGAUGGGCUUAGCUAGUAGGUGGGGUAAUGGCUCACCUAGGCGACGAUCCCUAGCUGGUCUGAGAGGAUGACCGGCGGCACGGGAACUGAGCCACGGUCAAGACGCCGACGAGAGGCAGCAGUGGGGAAUGUGGCACAAUGGGCGGAAGCCUGAUGCAGCGAUGCCGCGUGUGUGAAGAAGGCCUUCGGGUUGUAAAGCACUUUCAGCGAGGAUGCGUUACUCGCAGAAGAAGCACCGGCUAACUCCGUGCCAGCAGCCGCGGUAAUAC
rnacentral:rRNA from 1 species